UUCUUAAAAACAAGAAAGAAGGUUUUUGCCUUCAAGGAGGCACCUCCCAACAGAGCCAAAAUGGGAAUGUUUGCAUUUGGUACCAUCCAUCAAUGCUGCGAUGCUGUGGGAGAGGCUCCUCCAGCUCCUCUCAUCGCAGUGGACAGAAGGAGCUGUCAGGGAGCCGCGUGUGGCUACUGUGCCGAGCAGGGCGAGAGCCAUGCUGGCAGAGAUCCCUUCCACAGAGGGGAUUUCUGCACUGACAAUUUUUGGCUCCUUUAGGUUACUUUGGAGCUGUGCAGAAUAUGUAAUGUUCUGCUGAGGGGCUGACAGGCAACUUAAAUACAGAUUGCAAAGAUAGAUCAUCCCCCAGCAUCACUUUGUUUUCUGAUGCUCUAAAAUCUUUUUACUUGACCCUGCAAGCUACUAUAAAGUCAGAAGAGCUCUCUAUAUUUGCUUCCCGGAUGCCUUUUUCUCCUCUGCUUACAACUAUAAAAGCAGCUUUUCAUGCUCCAAAUCAGAGAUAAAUUGAAAUUGCUGCUGAAGAAAUAAAACACAAGGCUAAUCAAAUUGUAGCACAGGAAGCAGCCUUCAGCCAGUGCAUUUUCUGAGAGCUAUUUUUAGAAUAUAUUUUUAUUUUGUCACUCCAUAUGGGAAGUCAAACCCAUAUGGUUUGGGAGAAUAGAAGGUUGUGCUUUUAUAGAGAUCUCACAAACCAUCACCGCUCAGCCACACACUUAAACGUGUGCUUAAAUCCAAUUGUUUGCAAUGGGACUGAAGCACAUAAAGUCUUUGAGACUGGAGCCUCAGGUCCUGUCUGAGGUUGUAAAAGUAUUAUUCCCUCCUGAGAUGUAAACCUAUUCUAUACUUGUUAAACCUGUCUCCAUUUAACUCGAUUCUUCUUAAUUAUGACAUUUCUCAUUCGUACACCUCACUUUUUUUUUUUUCUUUUUCAUUUCUUCAUUUCAUCUCCAUAUUUCAGAUGUCCCGAUGAAUGUUUGGUCCAGUACCAGACAGGAUGCAAAGCUGAACACCCAUAGCCAUCACUCUCCUGCUCUUCACAGUAGAUGUUGCUAACCUACAGUUAUCAAGAUAAAUGUGGUCUUGGAGAAUAUGACUGGAUUCUUCUCACAACACCAGGACACCUUCUGAGUAUGCUGAUAAAGCAAUGACUGGCUACAAAAGGAAAUAAUUCUCCACCUUUUUUUUUUUUUAUCGAGUGCCAUGGGAAUAGGACCUACCCAGUGGAGAAUUCAGUGUGACAGUAGAACGGGAAGGAUGGAGAUUCCUGAGAUGGUUUCGAUGCUGCUUCCACCAAGUAGAAGGGAUGUUAAACUGAAAUUGUUUAUCAAGCUGUGAACUCAUAGGGAUUAUGUUAUUGGAACGCCAAGAAAACAACCACUGAUUUUAUUCUUCCCCCCCCUCCCCCCCCCAAAUAUAAAGCAGAGAUCUUGCAUAAGAAGAGACAAUGUUCAUACAACCAAGAUUGAGAAGGGGCUACAAGGAAAAGCAGAAAGAAACUGACAAAAGUUUUAAAAGAAAUUUUAUGAAGCCAUAUUUGCAUUCAAAAUCUAUGACCAUUUUGAAAUCAAAAUAGCUACUGUUAGAUUAUUUGCACAAAGUAGCUUUAUAGUCAGAAAACCCCUCAUCACUCGUAUCCAGCUUUAAAAAAUACAUUCUGUACCAUUCUGAAAUUCCAAAAGACCAUAAAAAUCACUUGGAUUUAUGAUGUUUUGGUAUAAUGGAAUUAGAUGCAAGUAUCUGGGUUUUCCCAGAAAUAUUAUUCUGGAAUAUUCAAGUAACAUAACUUUUGGACCAGGUGCCUGAGCUGUGUGUGUGAUGUGAAUACAUGAGCACUAUGAGGUUGACUCGUGGUGUGACUGCAUUUCCUGUGCAUCACUUAUGACAGCUGAACAUCAUGACCCCUGUAAAGCCAAGCAAGAGUUUGUCAAUGACUUCACUGGAGGCAGAAUUUCAUCCCAGGCCAGGAGCUGCUGAUGGAGAGUGCCACAGGCUGGUGACCUGAACAACUUCAAGUCAGUGAAGCAGAAGGGAGAAAAUUCCUCCUCACAUAACUGAUCUCUUCGGCAACCCAGGGUACCCAAAUUUCACUUAGGAUUUUCUACUGAGUUUCCAUUCAUGUUGCAGCUAUGUAGAUAAUAGGUUAAGGCAUGAUUCUUAAAAAAGUAAAGAAUUAAUUUUUCUGAGAGAUGGGUGAUAUGUAGAAGACAUUUGUGUAAUUUUGCAUUCUAAACAUGGUUUGUAUUUACAAAUAAAUUUGCAUGAAAUCUCCA